rnacentral:snRNA from 1 species
GUGCUCGCUUGGGCAGCACAUAUAAUAAAAUUGGAACGAUACAGAGAUUAGCAUGACCCCUGCGCAAGGAUGACACACAAAUUCGUGAAGCGUUCCAUAUUUUU